rnacentral:rRNA from 1 species
CACAUGCAAGUCGGACGGUAACAGGGAUUGCUUGCAAUCCGCUGACGAGUGGCGCACGGGUGCGCAACGCGUAUAGAACCUACCCUUUACAGGGGGAUAGCCCAGAGAAAUUUGGAUUAAUACCCCGUAGUACCUAUUAGAGGCAUUUCUAAUAGGUUAUAGUUUUCGAACGGUAAAGGAUGGCUAUGCGUCUUAUUAGCUAGUAGGUAAGGUAACGGCUUACCUAGGCUACGAUAAGUAGGGGCCCUGAGAGGGGGAUCCCCCACACUGGUACUGAGACACGGACCAGACUCCUACGGGAGGCAGCAGUGAGGAAUAUUGGACAAUGGGCGGAAGCCUGAUCCAGCCAUGCCGCGUGCAGGAAGACGGCCCUAUGGGUUGUAAACUGCUUUUAUACGGGAAGAAUAAGGGAUACGUGUAUCCUGGUGACGGUACCGUAAGAAUAAGGACCGGCUAACUCCGUGCCAGCAGCCGCGGUAAUACGGAGGGUCCGAGCGUUAUCCGGAAUUAUUGGGUUUAAAGGGUCCGCAGGCGGGCAAUUAAGUCAGAGGUGAAAUGGUGCGGCUCAACCGUAGCACUGCCUUUGAUACUGGUUGUCUUGAGUCAUGGUGGAGUGGCCGGAAUAUGUAGUGUAGCGGUGAAAUGCAUAGAUAUUACAUAGAACACCGAUCGCGAAGGCAGGUCACUAACCAUGUACUGACGCUGAUGGACGAAAGCGUGGGGAGCGAACGGGAUUAGAUACCCCGGUAGUCCACGCCGUAAACGAUGGAUACUAGCUGUCCGCUGCCUUGAGCAGUGGGCGGCCAAGCGAAAGUGAUAAGUAUCCCACCUGGGGAGUACGUUCGCAAGAAUGAAACUCAAAGGAAUUGACGGGGGCCCGCACAAGCGGUGGAGCAUGUGGUUUAAUUCGAUGAUACGCGAGGAACCUUACCAGGGCUUAAAUGCAGAAUGACAGGUUUAGAGAUAGACUUUUCUUCGGACAUUUUGCAAGG